UAUUUUUGCAUUUUCCAUGUGGGAAAACUGAAGCUCAGAGAGAGGCUGGUUGGAAAUCCAUCUCUGGUUCCUCUGAACCCAAAGCUUAUAUUCUUCCUCCAAGCCAGUGUUUCUCAAAGUGUUCCCUGCAGACCAACAGUCCCUGGGAGCUGGUUCAACCCGCAGCGCUGUCGCAGACUCCCUGGGCCUGCAGCAACCCCGCUGGAAACUAUUGUUCUGCACUAGACUGCACUCCUUCCUGUGUGCUUCCUGUAGAAACCCUGGAAAUGGCAGCCAGCAUGUGGAACCCUGGGCCAGGCCCUCGGUGCUUUCAUGUUUGGGAUUUGAAUCUGACCCUCAGUGCUCCCUGCAGGUGGAUGGGGAAGGUCUUAGAUGAGGGUAUUUUUAUAACCCCACAUUGCGGAUGACCAAAGUGACACAGAAGUUAGGCAACCUGUUCAAGAGGAACCUGAGCCUUGGGUGCUGAUGAAAUCCGUGCAAGGGUUAGAACAGUGCGUCCUUCCAAGAGCUGAUGCCCAUUUCUCGAAUCUCUCACAAUCUUCUGUGUUGCUCUCUGUAUAAUGCAGUGCCUCGUAUCCCACAAACAACAUUGCAAAGCCAAACAAGGA
rnacentral:lncRNA from 1 species